UACAGAGGGUGCGAGCGUUAAUCGGAAUUACUGGGCGUAAAGCGCGCGUAGGCGGCUUUGUAAGUUAGAGGUGAAAGCCCGGGGCUCAACCCCGGAACUGCCUUUAAGACUGCAUCGCUUGAAUCCAGGAGAGGUGAGUGGAAUUCCGAGUGUAGAGGUGAAAUUCGUAGAUAUUCGGAAGAACACCAGUGGCGAAGGCGGCUCACUGGACUGGUAUUGACGCUGAUGUGCGAAAAGCGUGGGGAGCAAACAGG
rnacentral:rRNA from 1 species